rnacentral:antisense_RNA from 1 species
GCAAGGGGGUAGAUGACACCCUUGUGUGUUCUAGGUCCUUUGAGAUAGAUUAUCUCACUGAAGGCUCAGCAACUCCGCGGUGUUCCCAGAGGUGAGGAAACACACUGAGAGACAGAACACGACUUGGCCAGGGCCACCCUGUGGGGCACGCUGGCACCUGCACAGCCCAGCUUCACCUGGUUCCAGCCCUGCCCGCGCUCUGCUCCCCACUUCCCGUAACUCUGGGCUGGCGUCAGCAGGCAGGCCUGCCAGGAGGCUGGAGCUGCCAACGACCUAUUUUUCUAGGCAAGAAGAGCCAUUUGGAGUUAGAGGUCUCAGCUGUGAAGCCAGAACAAUAAAAAUAAAAACAGCGCGGACUCCUGGGCAGCCUGGACCAGGGAACCAACUGCCCCAAGAGUUGCUGCUCACCAGGCUGGAAGGUCCCAGGUGAUACUGACGCUACUGAUUCAGGGAUCACACUUUGAGAACUGCUGAAUAGACUGCCAUUCAAGCCAAGCCAAUCCUCUUGGCUCUACCUUCAAAAUAAACCCAGAAUCCAACCACACCUUCCCACCUGCAUCACACUCCGGUCCCAGUACCUUCAUUUCUCACCUGGAUUAGUGCGGUCACUUCCUCACUGGCUCCGUACUUCCUGGACUCCCCACCUUGUUGCUUCUUCAAUAAAAGCCUCCCAAUGGC